GGGGUACCUGUAGCGAGACUGGAGAGGCGACCUUCGGCACGCUGUGGAGUUGGGCAUCUCGGGUCGGGGGCGAGUUUCGGUCCGCGCCGCCGCCGCCGCCGCCGUGGAGACUGAGCUGCCAGCUAGCAAGAGGGGCUGGCUCCUCGUCGCUCGUCGCCGCGCCGCGUCGCGGAUGCAGCUUGUCGCCAAAUGCCUCCCCCAUUAUUCUAAGCGCUGACGUCCAGCUCCCUGACAAAUGCAGGACCUCGGAGCCCUAGGAAUUAACUUUUCCC
rnacentral:lncRNA from 1 species